AUCGAAGAUGCCGCCAAAAAUUAUGGAUUUUCUAUCAAUGGCUACCACUCUGCCAAAGACGUCUUCCUAAACAAUUCGUUACAGAAAGGAAAGUUCCAAAUGUCAAGCCCAUAGAGAUGGUUUACAUAUUGUCAAUUGAAAACUGUCUGUGUUGUGAAAAGGAUAUAGAUAUUUUGGUCCAGCCUUCACUCGUGGUGUGUUCAAAGUGAUGGGCAUGGUUAAGUUCCCAUUGAAAAUGUAAUCCACAUCUCCCAUGUUAUGGUUUCAUGAUGAAAUUUUGCAGCUACUGUAAAAGAUGUCCAGCACUUACAUUUCCCUGUUUCAGAAAUAGAAAACGAAUAGAGAGGCUAGAUUUUUGAAGACCGCUACUCACACUACACGGUUAACUGCUGAUUCAUCCCGAACAGUAAACAUUUUAUUUUCAUAAGUUAAAGUGCAUAUCUGGGCUCCCUUCUUUUCUGUGGCCCCGUUUCCCCUAGAUUUGUAAUAAGCCCGUAGGGGGUCAUGCCCCUACUGUGAUCAGCAGCAAAGGUUGUGAGUGCGCUGUCUGGAAAGGGGACGUGGGGGUCCUCA